GAAUGGUGGUUCAAAAUAUAUGGAGAUAUCACAAGCGAGGAAGAAGAAGCAAAGAGCUCGCUGCUGAUGGAAGCAGUAACGGUGACUGCUGAUAAUACAAAAAGGAGAGAGAGACAGAGAAAUGCAGAACAAAGCAGAGAAGAUGAUAACAACAGAGUGACAAAAGCAAGCACGACCGAAGAAGGAGAAGAAGGUGGUAACGACGGUGAUGGAUUGAGAAAGAAGGAGGCUACGUCGAGAGAGAAAGGAAGAGGAUUGAGGUGACGACGAUGGUGGAGGCCACGACGCAGCAUCACAGCCGCUUCUUUACCGAUGGCGGCGGCGGGUGCUGCAAAUGCGUCGAAACAGUUCGUUACGACGUCGUUGUACAUUGGGGAUCUGGACCCUGAGGUCGAUGAGAACCUCUACGAUUUGUUCGACCAGGUCGGACAAGUGGUUUCGGAAGUUCUCCGGCUGUUGUUGCAGAACAAAAGCGACCCCUUGGAUUUUUAUGCUGAAAGAAGAGAAGAGAAAAUGCUUAGUCCACAGAUGGAGGCAUUUGGUUUAGGCAGUUACUUGAACACUCGCUGAUUUGUGUGUGAACUACUUUGAUGACAGUUAAUACAAUUGAUUCUGGGACCAAAGCUUUUGAUUUUUGGCCUUGCGUGAGAAUGAUGAUAGCACCACAAAUACACCAUCUAUUUCUCCUAACAAUCAUCAGGUGGUCGCACCAAAGACAAAGGUUACUGCCAGAAAUCAUAAACCAAGAAGCAUUCACUUUCCGUCUUCAUUUAAUAGCAAAUCAGGUUCAUUUUUUCCAGGACAGAAAUAUUGGUAGCCUUAAUCCGUAAGGGAGCAAUAAGGACGGCUAGAUAUCUAACGUCUUUAAGGGAUAUCAAAGUGGGACAAAAUCUCAAUUAUCUUGGAGAGUAGAAAAAUCCUUCAUCAUUAGCUUUGUGUCCAGCAACUAAGAACUGCAUAUCAACAUAUAAGAAUAUCACUCAUGCCAUUCAUUAUGCUUCUCCUUGGCUCAUCUUCAUGAGUGGAAAGCUGUAUGGAAUGCAAAGAUAAUAUCUUGAUCCGAUCGUUAUUAGAAGUACCAAAAUGAAA